ensembl:snRNA U6 U6 spliceosomal RNA
GUGCUUGCUUCGGCUGCGUGUAUACUAAAAUUGGAACCAUACAGAGAAUAUUAGCAUGGCCCCUAUGACUCAGCACAAAUGCAGCUACUCUUAUUUGAU